UAGGGAAUCUUCCGCAAUGGGCGAAAGCCUGACGGAGCAACGCCGCGUGAGUGAUGAAGGUCUUCGGAUCGUAAAACUCUGUUAUUAGGGAAGAACAAAUGUGUAAGUAACUAUGCACGUCUUGACGGUACCUAAUCAGAAAGCCACGGCUAACUACGUGCCAGCAGCCGCGGUAAUACGUAGGUGGCAAGCGUUAUCCGGAAUUAUUGGGCGUAAAGCGCGCGUAGGCGGUUUUUUAAGUUUGAUGUGAAAGCCCACGGCUCAACCGUGGAGGGUCAUUGGAAACUGGAAAACUUGAGUGCAGAAGAGGAAAGUGGAAUUCCAUGUGUAGCGGUGAAAUGCGCAGAGAUAUGGAGGAACACCAGUGGCGAAGGCGACUUUCUGGUCUGUAACUGACGCUGAUGUGCGAAAGCGUGGGGAUCAAACAGG
rnacentral:rRNA from 1 species